AGUGAACGCUGGCGGUAGGCCUAACACAUGCAAGUCGAACGGCAGCACAGUAAGAGCUUGCUCUUACGGGUGGCGAGUGGCGGACGGGUGAGGAAUACAUCGGAAUCUACUUUUUCGUGGGGGAUAACGUAGGGAAACUUUCGCUAAUACCGCAUACGACCUACGGGUGAAAGCAGGGGAUCUUCGGACCUUGCGCGAUUGAAUGAGCCGAUGUCGGAUUAGCUAGUUGGCGGGGUAAAGGCCCACCAAGGCGACGAUCCGUAGCUGGUCUGAGAGGAUGAUCAGCCACACUGGAACUGAGACACGGUCCAGACUCCUACGGGAGGCAGCAGUGGGGAAUAUUGGACAAUGGGCGCAAGCCUGAUCCAGCCAUACCGCGUGGGUGAAGAAGGCCUUCGGGUUGUAAAGCCCUUUUGUUGGGAAAGAAAAGCAGCAGGUUAAUACCCCGCUGUCCUGACGGUACCCAAAGAAUAAGCACCGGCUAACUUCGUG
rnacentral:rRNA from 1 species